rnacentral:rRNA from 1 species
CCUACGGGUGGCAGCAGUGAGGAAUAUUUGUCAAUGGACGAGAGUCUGAACCAGCCAAGUAGCGUGAAGGAUGACUGCCCUAUGGGUUGUAAACUUCUUUUAUAAAGGAAUAAAACGUGGCACGUGUGCCUUUUUUCAUGUACUUUAUGAAUAAGGUACGGCUACCUCCGUUCCAGCAGCCGCGGUAAUACGGAGGAUCCGAGCGUUAUCCGGCUUUAUUUGGUUUAAAGGUAGCGUAGAUGGGUUGUUAAGUCAGUUGUGAAAGUUUGCGUCUCAACCGUAAAAUUGCAAUUGAUACUGGCAGUCUUGAGUACAGUUGAGGUAGGCGGAAUUCGUGGUGUAGCGGUGAAAUGCUUAGAUAUCACGAAGAACCCCGAUUGCGAAGGCAGCUUACUAAACUGUGACUGACAUUGAUGCUCGAAAGUGUGGGUAUCAAACAGGAUUAGAUACCCCAGUAGUC